UACGAAGGGGGCUAGCGUUGCUCGGAAUGACUGGGGCGUAAAAGGGCGCGUAGGCGGCGGACACAGUCAGAUGUGAAAUUCCCGGGCUCAACCUGGGGGCUGCAUUUGAUACGUGUUUGCUUGAGUGGGGAAGAGGGUCGUGGAAUUCCCAGUGUAGAGGUGAAAUUCGUAGAUAUUGGGAAGAACACCGGUGGCGAAGGCGGCGACCUGGUCCUUGACUGACGCUGAGGCGCGAAGCGUGGGGAGCAAACAGG
rnacentral:rRNA from 1 species